rnacentral:lncRNA from 1 species
AACCCCAGACCUUGCUGAAGCAGGUAGACCUGGGCUGUCUUCCUACCAAGGAGGCCCCCUUGCUCUACCCUGUUCUGUCCCCAUCUGGCACACCUGGCCUGGGGUCCCUGGGCCAUGGAGGGGACUCUGCUUCCCACUGUAGUGCCCAUCCCAUUCUCUACCUCUCAGGUCCCCUUCUCCCCCAGCCCUUCCCUGGGGUCCUGGGCUGCCUCCUGUGGCUCUCUGCACCCCUCGUCUCUCUCACCUUUCAUUUGGCCUCUUCCCUAGAACUACUCCGGAGACCUCGGGGCGCGAGUGGCCCUGCAUGAACUCUACAAGUACAUCAACAAGUACUAUGACCAGAUCAUCACUGCCCUGGAGGAGGAUGGCACGGCCCAGAAGAUGCAGCUGGGCUAUCGGCUCCAGCAGAUUGCAGCUGCUGUGG